rnacentral:misc_RNA from 1 species
AGCUGGAUCAUUUUCCGAUAUCCAAUACCUUAUUCAAUAUCUUUGGUCCCUCACCUGCUGGCCUUUAUGAGGGGCAGGAUCUUGAGAAUCUCCGUGCACACUCUCCUUUCCGAGAGUGGGCAUCAUGAUUGGACCACCAAAAGAAGUGCCCACACACACACACACACUUGUGUGUGUGUGUGUGCUGGGCGCAUGCCGCUUCAGCUGCGCGCUUGCGCGCAUAUGAUGCACGGCUUCCACAACGUGUCGCGAUGGAUGACUUGGCUUCCCAUUUCGUUGAAGAACGCAGCAAAGUGCGAUAAGUGGUAUCAAUUGCAGAAAAAGAAGAAAUCACCCUAUUACCGAAUCUUUGAACGCAAAAGGCGCCCGGGAGAAGCUCUUUACAAGCGAACCCCGUGCAUGUCGUAUUCUCAGUGUCGAACAAACAACAAACCUUCCCGCGUUGCUUUCUCUUGCAGAGAGUUGACGUUUGGCGAAGACAUCAGAGUCUCGGCUGGACAACUUCGGGUGCAUGCGCGCUUGCGCGUGUGUGUGCUCGUCAUGUUCAAAUGUUCGCCGAGUGGUUGCUCCUUUUGAGUACUCAUUGCAGUCUUGGAAGGCAACACUUGACCGUUUUCAUGCGCGCGCCUUUGUGUGCGUGCGUGGAAACAAUCAGAGUUUUACAUCUCCACUCGCAAGAGCGGACAUUUAUAUUCUUUGACACCCUUGUUCACAGACCUGAGUACGACAGGACUACCCGCCGAACUUAAGCAUAUUACUCAGCGGAGGAAAAGAAAACAACCGUGAUUCCCUCAGUCAGCGGCGAGCGAAGAGGGAUCCAACCCGUUGCCGAAUCGGGCCUCAACGGCCUUGAGUUGUGGCAAAAACGUCGUUCUGUGAAUGGUGCUGGGAUUGGCAAAAUUCAAGUUGCAAAGCAAACCCUGCUGAACACAACCUUUCAUGUGAGUAUUGAGCCCUAGAAGGUGGUAGCCCAUUUCGCCAAAAACCCGAACCUCAUUGAACGAAACCAAGAGAGUAGCACUGCUUGGGAGUGCAGUGUCAAGCGGCAGGUAUGUGUCUGCCAAGGUUAAACACAGAGUGGGAAGACCGAUAUCGAACAAGUAGCGUGAGCGAAAGUUUGAAAAGCACUUUGGAAAGAGAGUGACAUAGAACCUGAAGUCGUGACAAUGAUAAUGGAAGUACCUCCAUUUCACUGGCCAGAGCCUGCCCUAAAGCACUCUCCGAACUUGGACUCGUCCUUGGGCGGCAAUAGCUGCGGAAAAGGGGCAAGGUUGAUAGGAGCGAGCGUGAAGUCGGGUGCACGUCCGCGUGAGGCCCGGCUUGCUCGUGAUGCUCGAAGUGUUGGCAAACUCGAAAUGGGGUGCCUCCACCCGUCUUGAAACACGGACCAAGGAGUCAAACAGACACGCAAGGGAGAAGAUAACCAAGUGAAAUACUUCUCUCGUACUGAAAGGGUUUCGUUUGUUGGUGUGCACUUUAUUGCUCAACACCGGCCGGCCUCUCGUAGGUUGAGUCUGAGUGUGCCUGUUUGGACCCGAAAGGUGGUGAACUAUGCCUGAACAAGGUGAAGCCCGGGGAAACCCAGGUGGAGGCCUGUAGCGAUGCUGACGUGCAAAUCGCUCGCAUGAUUUGGGUAUCGGAGCGAAAGACUCAUCGAACCACCUAGUAGCUGGUUCACAU